GGGUAUGAGGGCAGUCUGGCUGUGAUAUCUGUCACCCCAUUCAUCGCCAGGGUUAAUUUGGCUGAUCUGGCUGGCUAGGCAGGUGCCUUCUUGUUCCUUCACCUCUCCAUGUGUGUCCCUUCCCAAAGUUAAGCGAGGACAUUUCCUGAAUAGAGACUGACUCCAUUGAGGGUAUACAAGUAGCCACACUCCCCUGCUAGAACCUCCAGACAAGCUCUCAAGGUCCGAAGCUUCUUUCAGUUUGGUAGGGGCCAGACCUGAACCUGGAUUGUGCACAUGGCAAAGCAACACACUAU
rnacentral:snRNA from 1 species